rnacentral:miRNA from 2 species
GAGCUGCCAAGUGAAGGGCUGU